rnacentral:rRNA from 1 species
UGAGGAAUAUUGGUCAAUGGGCGCUAGCCUGAACCAGCCAAGUAGCGUGAAGGAUGAAGGCUCUAUGGGUCGUAAACUUCUUUUAUAUAAGAAUAAAGUGCAGUAUGUAUACUGUUUUGUAUGUAUUAUAUGAAUAAGGAUCGGCUAACUCCGUGCCAGCAGCCGCGGUAAUACGGAGGAUCCGAGCGUUAUCCGGAUUUAUUGGGUUUAAAGGGAGCGUAGGUGGACUGGUAAGUCAGUUGUGAAAGUUUGCGGCUCAACCGUAAAAUUGCAGUUGAUACUGUCAGUCUUGAGUACAGUAGAGGUGGGCGGAAUUCGUGGUGUAGCGGUGAAAUGCUUAGAUAUCACGAAGAACUCCGAUUGCGAAGGCAGCUCACUGGACUGCAACUGACACUGAUGCGCGAAAGUGUGGGUAUCAAACAGG